CCCAACUAUCCCUAUUAAUCAUUACGUCAAUCCUAGAAACCAACAAAAUAGGAUCGAACGUCCUAUUUCAUUAUUCCAUGCUAAUGUAUUCAAGCGUUAGCCUGCUUUAAACACUCUAAUUUUUUCAAAGUAACAGUCCAGAUUCCCUGCAACACCAAAUUAAUGGCAUUACAGUUCAUCAGGAAGGAGGAAUCAGUAAGACCAGUACGUACCGGUGGCACGACCAGCCUACUAACCCCGAAAUUCAACUACGAGCUUUUUAACUGCAACAACUUUAAUAUACGCUAUUGGAGCUGGAAUUACCGCGGCUGCUGGCACCAGACUUGCCCUCCA
rnacentral:misc_RNA from 1 species